UACGGAGGGGGCUAGCGUUGUUCGGAAUUACUGGGCGUAAAGCGCGCGUAGGCGGACCUGCAAGUCGGGGGUGAAAGCCCGAGGCUCAACCUCGGAACUGCCUUCGAUACUGCGGGUCUCGAGUCCGAGAGAGGUGAGUGGAAUUCCUAGUGUAGAGGUGAAAUUCGUAGAUAUUAGGAAGAACACCAGUGGCGAAGGCGGCUCACUGGCUCGGUACUGACGCUGAGGCGCGCAAGCGUGGGGAGCAAACACG
rnacentral:rRNA from 1 species